CAAGACAGGCAGAUGGAAAGAAAGUGUAGAACGCAGCAGGUUUUCUCACAGUAAAUUCCAAUGACUUGCAUGAAGAUACUGUAUUUAUGUGUAAUUUUGCAGGAGGCCAAAGUGGAUCUUUGAAUAAAACUGACAGAGACUACACACUAGAGCCAACAGUGACAGUCCACAUGCUCCCACAGCUGCACACUGACCAGUUUCAGUCUGAAGAUAAAAUCACUCUGGUGUGUCUGUUCACCAGUACUGUGAAUAAGAUGUAUAAAAUCGAAUGGUCAGAAAGUUAUGAACGAAAUUCUAGACCUUAUGCUACAGCCACCGACGACCCUGCACAGCAGAGCAAAAAUGACCAGAAAUGGCGAAGUAUGAGUCUUUACACCACCAGUAAGGCAAACUGGGUCAAAAAAGAUCCAACCAAAGAGUUCACCUGCUGUGUCGGAGUCGGACCUAAACAUAUUUUAAAAACAGUGUCCAGUGCCCAUGAAUACCUUUGUGAUCUGAGUUGGGACGAUGUCACCGCUGAAGAGGAUUUUAAUAGCCUCUGGUCCACAGCUUCCUCCUUCAUAUUCUUCAUAUUCUCUCUCUUCUAUAGCAUAAUCAUCAGUCUUCUUAAGAUAAAGAGAUGAUAACAAAUGGGAUGGAAUGGGUGCGCUUCAUUUCUAAUCUGCUUUUAAAAUUGAUUUUUCAUUUUAUAUUUAUGCACAUAAUCAUUCAUUUUUUAUAUUAAAUAGAUGUCAUAUACAAAUACCCACUUAGGAGAUGUGCAAAAUGUGAAAAAUAAUU